GUGAAACAUUGGUUCUCAUCUGAUCACUGAAGUUAAGCAACAUGGAACCUGGUCAGUACCUAGAUGAGUGACCCCAAGGAAUAACAAGUGCUGUAAG